CAUUCACGGAGAGUUUGAUCCUGGCUCAGGACGAACGCUGGCGGCGUGCUUAACACAUGCAAGUCGAACGAUGAACCACUUCGGUGGGGAUUAGUGGCGAACGGGUGAGUAACACGUGGGCAAUCUGCCCUGCACUCUGGGACAAGCCCUGGAAACGGGGUCUAAUACCGGAUACAACCACUGACCGCAUGGUCGGGUGGUGGAAAGCUCCGGCGGUGCAGGAUGAGCCCGCGGCCUAUCAGCUUGUUGGUGAGGUAAUGGCUCACCAAGGCGACGACGGGUAGCCGGCCUGAGAGGGCGACCGGCCACACUGGGACUGAGACACGGCCCAGACUCCUACGGGAGGCAGCAGUGGGGAAUAUUGCACAAUGGGCGAAAGCCUGAUGCAGCGACGCCGCGUGAGGGAUGACGGC
rnacentral:rRNA from 1 species